rnacentral:rRNA from 1 species
UACGUAGGGACCGAGCGUUAUCCGGAUUCAUUGGGCGUAAAGAGCUCGUAGGCGGCUAUUCAAGUCGAACGUGAAAUCUCGGGGCUCAACUCCGAGCCUGCGUUCGAUACUGGGUAGCUAGAGUCUGGUAGGGGGAUCUGGAAUUCCUGGUGUAGCGGUGAAAUGCGCAGAUAUCAGGAGGAACACCGGUGGCGAAGGCGGGUCUCUGGGCCGAUACUGACGCUGAGGAGCGAAAGCGUGGGGAGCGAACAGG